AAGAGACAGCAGUCGCCACGGGAAUACGUAGGUGGCAAGCGUUGUCCGGAAUUACUGGGCGUAAAGGGCUCGCAGGCGGCUUGCACAGUCAGAUGUGAAAUUCCUGGGCUUAACCUGGGGGCUGCAUUUGAUACGUGUGGGCUAGAGUGUGAAAGAGGGUCGUGGAAUUCCCAGUGUAGAGGUGAAAUUCGUAGAUAUUGGGAAGAACACCGGUGGCGAAGGCGGCGACCUGGUUCAUGACUGACGCUGAGGCGCGAAAGCGUGGGGAGCAAACAGGAUUAGAUACCCGAGUAGUCCCUGUCUCUUAUAU
rnacentral:rRNA from 1 species